rnacentral:rRNA from 1 species
GUGAAAUCCCCGGGCUCAACCUGGGAACUGCAUUCGAAACUGGCAGGCUUGAGUCUUGUAGAGGGGGGUAGAAUUCCAGGUGUAGCGGUGAAAUGCGUAGAGAUCUGGAGGAAUACCGGUGGCGAAGGCGGCCCCCUGGACAAAGACUGACGCUCAGGUGCGAAAGCGUGGGGAGCAAACAGGAUUAGAUACCCUGGUAGUCCACGCCGUAAACGAUGUCUACUUGGAGGUUGUGCCCUUGAGGCGUGGCUUCCGGAGCUAACGCGUUAAGUAGACCGCCUGGGGAGUACGGCCGCAAGGUUAAAACUCAAAUGAAUUGACGGGGGCCCGCACAAGCGGUGGAGCAUGUGGUUUAAUUCGAUGCAACGCGAAGAACCUUACCUGGUCUUGACAUCCACAGAAGAAUCCAGAGAUGGAUUUGUGCCUUCGGGAACUGUGAGACAGGUGCUGCAUGGCUGUCGUCAGCUCGUGUUGUGAAAUGUUGGGUUAAGUCCCGCAACGAGCGCAAC